CUCAUAUUCAUGAACAAACAAGAUACAGAUGCUCCUCUUUCACGUGAUCAAAGUCUUGUUUUUCUGUAUGAAGCUGUCCGUGUUGCUGCUGUUGGCCCUGCCGGCUUUGUGCACUGCAUCAGCCCUCUUGCUGGACCCAGGUCUGGGGGGCAGGGUUCCUAAUAUCACUGCUAACAGAUCUACAAGUCAAGCUCUUCCAACUCUUGUCAAGAUUAAGAACACACUCGACCGGUAUGUUUUGGAA